rnacentral:ncRNA from 1 species
AGACUCCGAAGAGCCGCGGAUUCCGCGGCACCGAAGAAGCAAUCCCGCUCCAGGGGGAGAAUCUUUCAGGUCUAUGACGGGGCGUGCAGU